rnacentral:rRNA from 1 species
GACGAACGCUGGCGGCGCGCUUAACACAUGCAAGUCGAACGGAAAGGCCUGCUUUCCCUUGUGGAUUGCGGGUACUCGAGUGGCGAACGGGUGAGUAACACGUGAGUGAUCUGCCCCCAACUUGGGUAUAAGCCUGGGAAACUGGGUCUAAUUCCCGAUAGGACUGCAGGGUGGUGCCUGUGGUGGAAAACGAUUUUCUAGUGGUUGGGGAUGAGCUCGCGGCCUAUCAGCUUGUUGGUGGGGUAAUGGCCUACCAAGGCGGCGACGGGUAGCCGGCCUGAGAGGGUGGACGGCCACAUUGGGACUGAGACACGGCCCAGACUCCUACGGGAGGCAGCAGUGGGGAAUAUUGCACAAUGGGCGGAAGCCUGAUGCAGCGACGCGGCGUGGGGGAUGACGGCCUUCGGGUUGUAAACUCCUUUCGACCGCGAGGAAGCCACCUGGUUGGAAGGGUGGUGACGGUAGUGGUAGAAGAAGCACCGGCUAACUACGUG